rnacentral:lncRNA from 1 species
GCAAGGAAAUUUUCUAGGAAACUUAUGAUGUCAUACCACAAGAAAGAUAUGUGUCUGCAUUUAAAGAUAAUAAUGGAGCAUCUACCAUAUUCCAAGGAUCAGAAGAGGCACAAGGGGAAAAAAAUUAUUAGUAUACUAAUGCUUUUCUUAAAGCACUUCCAAGCUAUUGGAAAAGGAGAGCUAUUGGAAAAACUGGUACAAGGGUAUAAAAGAAGGGAACCUAACUCAGCCUGCAUAAUAAGGUGAGGCUUCUGAGAGGAGGUGAAAGUCGAACUGAGUCUUGAAGAGGCAAGAACAAUUAACCAGGCAAAGAACUGAGAGAAACACUUUCCUGUCAAAACAAGUCUGGAGCAGGAGUUCCCGUCAUGGCUCAGUGGUUAACAAAUCCCACUAGGAACCAUGAGGUUGAGGGUUCGAUCCCUGGACUUGCUCAGUGGGUUAAGGAUCUGGUGUUGCUGUGAGCUGUGGUGUAGGUCACAGACGUGGCUCGGAUCCCACGUUGCUGUGGCUCUGGUGUAGACCUGCAGCUACAGCUCCGAUUAGACCCCUAGCCUGGGAACCUCCAUAUGCCAUGGGAGUGGCCCUAGAAAAGGCAAAAAGACAAAAAAAAUUUUUAAAAGUCUGUGAGCAAAUGUACAGAAGCAAAUUAUAUCAUGAUGUGGCAAAUAUAUCAUGAUGUGAUGAAUAAGUAGUCUCCUGCCUGCAACUAUACCCAUUUGAAAAUCCUGAGUAUGCUUCCUAUGGUAUAUAUGCAUCUCUAAAAAAUUUCCUUUUGGUUCAAAUUUAAGAUAUUCUCACAGAUAUUUCUUAAACUACUUUGUCCCCUCCCAUACUGACCAAAAUGAUGAGAAGAAGAAGAAGAAAUAAUUAUUAUAUGACUUCAACCUGAUUUAGCUUAUUUCAGUAGGUCUUUAUGGAGAAGCCAUUACUUAUCUGACAAUUUUCAUACUUUUGUGGAGGACAUAAAGGUAGCAAGACUUUGUAGCACUAAAAAGUGAAAAAAGAUUAUAUUUGCAAUAAGCAUAAGGAAAAAGAGCCUCUUUUACUGUCACUGCUAAAUACCUCAAUUCAUUUGCUCCUUACUGUUUAUCAUAUCAUCUAUCUUUAUUGCUGAAGAAAUAAUUUGUAUAAGUACCCCUUAUAUAUUUAUAGUUCUCGUGGCAAAGUAUUUUUUGAUACAAAUAUUAAUGUACUUUUCUUAAUGGUUUCUUAUCCAUGACCUAAUUUUACUUAACAAAAUUGCAAAAUUUGAAAACACUAUGAGUGCAUGAUUUUCAUGUUUAUUCUGCCUAUUUAUCAAUGGAACACUAAGCAAUUUUUAAAUUUAAACCCUGUCAGGUAGUGAUAUUUCUAAAUCUUCCAUUUAUUCUUGACUUAUUCAAUGAUUAAAGAAAAUCAAGUUUAAUUACAUCAUCCUUAAAAGUUUCUGUGGUUUGGCUCAGAGAAACAAUAUAAAACUAUAGAUUCAUUUCACACAUUUUCCUUAUAAUCUUAACACAUUUAUUAUGUAAUUUUGCUAUAAGCAAGAUUUAAAAUACAAAAUAAACCACGUGUUACAGUUGAGAUCUAUUUGCUU